rfam:Torrubiella hemipterigena genome assembly, contig: SCAF6
UCCCCUAUAGCUCAGUUGGUUAGAGCGUCUGACUGUUAAUCAGGAGGUCGAUAGUUCGAACCUAUCUGGGGGAG